rnacentral:rRNA from 1 species
UGGGGAAUAUUGCGCAAUGGGGGAAACCCUGACGCAGCAACGCCGCGUGCGGGAUGAAGGCUUUCGGGUUGUAAACCGCUUUCAGCAGGGAAGAUAAUGACGGUACCUGCAGAAGAAGCCCCGGCUAACUACGUGCCAGCAGCCGCGGUAAUACGUAGGGGGCAAGCGUUAUCCGGAUUCAUUGGGCGUAAAGCGCGCGCAGGCGGGCCGCUAAGCGGGACCUCUAAUCUUGGGGCUCAACCUCAAGCCGGGUCCCGAACUGGCAGCCUCGAGUGCGGUAGGGGUAAGCGGAAUUCCCGGUGUAGCGGUGGAAUGCGCAGAUAUCGGGAAGAACACCGAUGGCGAAGGCAGCUUACUGGGCCGACACUGACGCUGAGGCGCGAAAGCUAGGGGAGCGAACA